GGCAAUGAGAGCAGCAGCUGUGAAAACAGUCAUUCAAUGAUGUCAGAGCAGCAUAGGGACUCUGGGCUGCAAGGCUACUUUGAAGUAUUUAACAGGAGUGCUGAGCUGUGACUCACACGCAAAUAAGUGAAAUGCCAACAUGACGAGUGUGCUGGUCCAGAGGGGUAAAAAAUAGGCUGGGAGAGAAAUCGAGGGGGAGUGAAGGAAACUAUUUCCAGCAUAUGUAGCCCCACCCACAAGCCCUCCUUCACACCAGAUGACCUGGGCACGACUCGAACCAGCUGGCUUCCGAUCAAGGUUGUCAGAGAGCGCAGAGAAACAAUGAGGAUGAUUCCGCACCGAGGAGUUAUCGGCCAGCUCAAUGCGUGCGGAUUUUCCUCUUCAACUGUGAGUAUUUUCACAUGCUAAUGGGACUUUCAGUUGAACUGCCGGUUACAAACACUAUGCUCAUCAUAAUAAUGGGCCACA